CAAAAAACAUACUUAAUAAAUAUUUGUUAAAAGAAUUAAUCUAAAUAACACCCUCAAAAGUGUUGAGUUGCUCUCUCCAUUUUGUAUGUUAGAUUGAGAUUUAUUAGAUCCUUGAGAUAAAAAAUCAUCUUGUGUGUUCUUUGGAAGGAAUGAUGCUAAAGCUGAAACUCCAGUACUUUGGCCAUCUGAUGCGAAGAGUUGACUCAUUGGAAAAGACUCUGAUGCUGGGAGGGAUUGGGGGCAGGAGGAGAAGGGGACGACAGAGGACAAGAUGGCUGGGAUGGCAUCACCGACUCGACGGACUGAAGACACCAGAAGAGGGGGUCAUUCUUGACAUUAGUCUCAAAAGCUUGGGCGCUGCUGAACCAGAGUGAAAAUGGAAUAUGGCAUAUGUUUCUACCUGCCCAGGUUUCAAGGGGGAAAAAAAAUUCACUCUAGACUGAGAGUGUCAAAGAUUUAAACCUUAUAUUGGACAAUGAAGAAUGAAAUAAAUAGGUCCACAGUUUACUUAAUCUCCAGAAUCAUAUACCCAUUGCUGUAGUGUUCCCUCCCAGCUACUAAGGUCUUCAUUUGGACUUCCAUUCUGCUCCCACUUGUUAAGGAUAUUGACAUUAAUGGAUAUUUAUUACUUGAAUUUUCAAGAUGAAUUUGGGGGUUUAAUGAAAUUAAAAGAUGCUUACUCCUUGGAAGAAAAGUUAUGACCAACCUAGAUAGCAUAUUCAAAAGCAGAGACAUUACUUUGCUGACUAAGGUCCGUCUAGUCAAGACUAUGGUUUUUCCUGUGGUCAUGUAUGGAUGUGAGAAUUGGACUGUGAAGAAGGCUGAACGCUGAAGAAUUGAUGCUUUUGAACUGUGGUGUUGAAGAAGACUCUUGAGAGUCCCUAGGACUGCAAGGAGAUCCAACCAGUCCAUUCUGAAGGAGAUCAGCCCUGGGAUUUCUUUGGAAGGAAUGAUGCUAAAGCUGAAGCUCCAGUACUUUGGCCACCUCAUGCGAAGC
ensembl:lncRNA